CAGAGCUGUGCUGCAGGGGGCUUCAUUGCUAGGAAGGGGUUACACCCACUCCCCUUCUUAAUGCCAGCACUGUGGGGGUGCUCACUGUGCAGGAAUCGAGGGGCAGAGCACUCGGCUUUGCAGGUAGCAAAGGGUCAGCAGUGGGGACCUGCUAAUGCCAGUGCUGUGCCAUCAGGCUGCUGCUUUGGGGAGCCCUGGGGCACAGCUGGGCUGCGUGUGCAGGUGUGGGGCACCCACUGGGAGGCGUUGGGGUCUACAGUGCACAUCCCUGGCACUCACAAAGGGUCCUGAGUGCCAGGUGUGGGGAUGUGGGUGUCAGGCAGAGUUUGUGGCAGCCCCACCUGCAGGAGGCGCUGGGAUGAGCCCCAGCUGAGGGACAGCGGUGCACCAACUUUUUAUAACCUCAUGGGGGUCCGAGGAUUCUCCUGGGCUGAAAAACGGGGGGGAUUCCGUGUGGUCCCCAAAUCUGUACUGAAGUUUUUAAGCCCGUUGCAGUGCUGCUUUCAUCCGCCAGAUGCGCGCAGUUGAGCCGCGUUGGCUCCCAGCCUGGAAGUGAGGUCAGAGGAUGGGGAUUGGGAGAAGAAGUCAUCUGGUUUCCUGCCUGGGCUCUGACGCAUCCCUGCAUCCUCCCUUUUCCCCCCCGUGACCUCCUUUUGCAGACAAAGAGGGGAAGUGCUACACACGCAGCAUCCCCCGCUGCCCCCCCGCCUUUAUCCUGCCUUGCCAGGGGGGAUUUCUUUCUUUCCUUUCUUUUUUUUUUUCCCCUGUCUUUGACAAGUCCGUAAUGGGGGGGGGGGGGGUUCCCCAUCUGCUGCUGGGGGCGCAGGGAGGGAUCACCUGCUCUGGUGCACAAAGGCAGCAUCGCAGCCUUUUGGUGCUGGUUGUUACGCAGCAGGAGAAGGGAGCUGCAGCCUUUUGUGCCAUUAAAUAAAGCAGAUCCCCAGAGAGCAUUAUGCAAGCCCUUCUCUCCAUCCCUUUGUUCUACACUGCAGAGCUCCCCACAGCCCAACUAAACCCCAUUCCAACCAUUGUUAUUCCUCUUUCCCAGCUCCCACCAUACCCUCCCCUACUGAUGGUUUAGGGCCCAGACCCCAGAGCUCCCCCCCCCAGCAUCUCCCUGCCCCAUGGCACUGUCCCACCAGGCUGAGUCCACCCUGCCAUGCUGAGUCACCCUGGGCGUGCUGAGAAUGCAUCGUUAUUUAAUAGCCCCAGGGCUGUGCUUUGCCAUUAUUUAGCCCAUCGUUGCUCAGAGUGUGAAGUGUUUUGGCACUUUAGAUGCCCGUUCCCAUGCAGAAACACUGCAGCAAUGGCUGUGCUGUGCUUCUCCUGCCCUUCCAGGCCAGCUGUGACCUGCAGCACUGUGCUGUGCUGCUCCCAGACCCACUCAUCCCUCACCACACUGGGGAUGUGCCCAUAACAUCUGUGGGGUUGGAUCUGGGUGUCCCAUCCAUGUCUCCCAUAUAUCUGAGCACAGUGCUGCAGCACAGAUAUGGCUCAGAGCUGCUGCCCCAGCCCAGCCCUGACCCCAGAGGGACCCUCCUUCCCUAAAAAGACCCUCAGAGGGUUUUGGGGUUUGUUACAUGGCCGCUCUGGCUUUGAGUUGUAUGAGUGCUGGGCUGUAUGUGUGCAGAUACAGUGCCACAGUGUGAGGGCACCCUGCUCCUGGCUGGACUUCCUCCUUUAGCAUUAUGAUUUUACCCACAGUUACCUAUUUAAGUGCUUUAUCUGUCUCUUUCUGUUCUGCUGUGGGUUUUAAUUCCCUGUUUUCCUUUCCUUGCUUUGCUCCAGCUGCCCCACAGCACACAGAUCCUGAAUCUAUGCUUUUCUCUCCUAUAAUCAAUGCCUGCUGUCCCCUUGUGAACUGAACCUGAAAAACCCUCUGUAAGGUUGACGUGGGAAUUUAAGCUCCAGAUCCAGCUGGCUUUGUCCCUAGGCUGAUUUACUCCUGGAGGAUCAGGGGAUGGCCUGCAAGGUGUCCUGGGCUCGUUGCCAUUCCCCUUUGGUUCUUAGCCUUUCAUGUGGGGCAGCUCAGUGUCACCCUCAGCCCCCUCUUCUCAAUCUGGGUGUGCUUCCAUCGGGGUGAAGCACAGCACAGGGUUUCUGCUGGGGAUUUUAACAAGGCAAAGAACACAUCAGUGGGGGAACUGUGUGUGUAUAUAUACACAUAUAAAUGUAUAUAGCAACUGCUUUAGUUGAUAGGAACUAUGGUGAAAAGUGUUGGAUUUUCCUAAGCCUUUCCCUAUGGACUGUGCAUGUAAUACAGUGAGGAAAAAAAAUGUAUAUUUAAAGGGGUCGAAAGGAGAGUCAGCCAGGAAUGCUUGGGAGAAAAGAGGCUGCUCCUGGAGUGUUUGGGGUGGGUGUUUGGGCCAAUAUAGGGUCAUUUCUAUGAGGUCUGGCUGGGGUCUGUUUGUGUUGGAGCAUCACUCCUCCAUGGUCUGUGCGGCACCAGAGGGUGCUCGUGCACCACAAUGCGGAGCCGUCCUCUCCCUCAGCCAUUUUAAACCGAAUGUUUUUCUCUCCUGCAGUCUCCAUUUUAUGUUUCCGAUGCAGAAAAUAGAACAGGGUUUGAAGGAGGAGGAGAAGGGAGGGGAGAUGCUGAGGCAAAGCCCGGGGCUGGUGGGGGGGAGGAGGGGGCUGGUAUGAGGCAGCAUGAGGGGCUCCCAUGGGAAGAUGCUGGAAGUGGGGUGCUCUGCUUUAUCCCCUGCCAGCUCCAAGCUCCCUCCGUGCUGUUUCAGAGUGUGGCAUCACUUUUUGGCCCCUCAUCUCUCCAUCCAGCUGGGCACAUCACCAUAGGCCCCAUAGGAUCUGCGGGGCUGCUCCUGCCCAACUUCCCUCUUUCUUUGCUGAGGAUGCUGAGCUCUAUUCUUGUCCCUUUUCCUUCCUGCCCACAUGUGCUGGAUGGGAUGUUGUCCCAGGAACUGCCCUUAUCUUACUCAUCACAGUGCGGCCUGGGGAGACCAAGCAGGCAUUUCUCAAUCCAGGAUAUGAAGCAAGCUCUGCAUUCACUUCCAGAAGGGAAUAUCAUUGGGGCAGACCCAAAGCCCAGGUCCUCACCCCUGGGGUACAUGUGCAGCAAUGGCAGCUGGUGUCACAGUGUCCAGCUGAUCUCAGAGCAGCCGCACACAAAGAGGCUUCUCAGGAAGAUGAUAAACAUCCUAAGAGCCACUGCGGCUUCUGGAGACACUUACAUCAGUGUCUUUUCCUUUAAAUAUCCUGAGCUGAAGCGCCCUUUGCCUGUGAUCUCGUGUAUGCCCACACAACCGAAAAUAGUGCAAGAGUUCUUCCAAGCACAGAUCUGAGCCUCCGGGAACAAAACCCUCCCUUCUUUCCUGGCCCUGCUGGAUGCAGGCAGCCACAGGAGGAUGGGCUGCUGGGGGUUAAGGCUGUGACCUGAAUGAGAGCACUGCUGCGUCUCACAGACAGUGGAGUGGAAAUAAAUCUGACCUUGUUCCCAGUGCCAGAGCCUUUAUAAUGCUAUAGGAGUAGUAGGGAAGGAUGAGGUGCCUCAGGCGCGCUCAGCUCUGUGCUGUUGCUUUGGGGUGUGGGGUAUUUGUUUGUUCCUAAACUCAUCGAUCGGAUCAGGGUUUUCAUAGCUGGGAUGUAGUCAGGCCUUUCCCCUGAAUUCCCAGCAGCCAAUAAAUAGUUCUGCUAUCCCUCAGCCCUCCUGUGCUGUCAGCUCUGAGUAUCCCAGUGCCUGCCCUCUGCCCCAGCUCCCCAGCUGCUGCAUGGCCUUACAACCCCUCCUGGCCGUAGCUGAGGCUGUUUCCUUUAGCCAAGGAUGAGAUCUGAAUGCAGAGCUCUGGAGGCACAGAGCAGCUGUUUACAGAACCCUUCUGCUUGCUGUCACGAGUUGGGAAGCAGCACGAGUAACAAGCAGUUGUUUGUCUGCCACGUGGGAGCUGGGAGUCCAAAAAGCAGAGGGCUGCUGGGCUGCUCACCCUGGGCAGCAUCCCUCAUCUGCACUUACAUGUUUCUGCAUUGCUCUCCUGCUGAUCCCUGUGCUCAGAUCAGCAGGAAUCCCAGUCCUGCUUUGUCUGAAGUCUGCAGGCACUGCUUUAAUGCUUUGUGUUUGACCUGGCAGCGGUACAAAGGGAGGGACUUGGGGCUGCCCGUGCUCAUCCUACACCUACAGACUCAUCUGCUUCCUCUCCAACUUGAGUCUAAUUUUGGCUUGAUAGGGAGAGCUGUGGCCACCAACCAGCCCUGGUGAGUUGGUGUAGGGGGUUACUGUCCCAGGGGGUCAAUGGGACUCUGCAGAGGGUUGUCUCUGUGUAGGAAAAGUGCUUUGCCCUGGGCUGAGUAUCCUGUGUUUGAUGGGGUGGUCAGCACCUUCUGUCUCAUCUGUAUGUGAUGCUGCACUGCCCUGCUCUCAGCUCUGCUUGUUCUCAUUCCCUGUCACUUGUGCAGAGCCCCAGCAGCAGGAUUUGGGUGCACACACUGUGCCCUCCCCAGCCUGGAAGUUGCAGUUGCAGUAGCAGCUCUGAGCCCCAAUGUUGGGGCCCUUCUCCCUUUGGGUCUGCAGUGCUCCAUGCAUCCUGCUGUGUGAAGUCAGCAUCCAGGUACAGGCUGCUCCAAAGGCUCGACUCAGGCUUGCUGGUCACCCAGCAGCACUGGGGGAGGCUGCACAACCCCAUGCCUCAUUUCAGUCCCUUUGCAAAGGAAAAACCUAUCCACAAAACAGCCGGAUCCAACGUCUGGAAGGAAGGAUGCUGAUUGUUUUUUCCCCUGUGAUUAAAAACUGCUUGUGCUGAGUCAGCAGCAGGGAGGAAGGAAGGUGGGAGCAGCAGGAUGCAGCCCUUCCUGCAGGCAGGACGGCAGCAGGGGAUGGUCUGCCUGAAUUUAAGUGCCAUGGUGUUUUCAUGGGUACCUCUUGAGUCCUGCCAACAGCUGCAGGGCUGCAACCACACUCCUGGUAUAAUACUGGGAGUGAGUAUUUUAGGAACGUGCUUCUCUGGGUUUUUUUUUUUGUGUGUCUUCUUUAAUUUCGGUGUCUCGUUGUGUAAGCACAACCAAGGGGGUGGACUCUGCCUGUGGAAUGUGGAGCUCAGAACCUUCCAGCUGACACAGAGAGUGAUAAAUGUGUGGAAUGGUGGCAAUAUGCUUUUGCUUUUAGGGAGAAGGUUGUGUGGGAGUGUCGAGGAGGAGCAGAGGAGGCAUGGAAGAGAAGAGGAUACUGAAUGUAAAGCUGGUAAAAGAGAAGGCAGAGGAGGAGAGCAGCUGGUGGAGGUGAAUGCAGCUGUGAGAUGCAGUUGAGUGUCUGAGAGGACAAAAGAGUUGGGCUGAAUGCAAAGCUAUACCAAUAAUGUGCAGGAGAUAUGAGUGGGGUUGGAUUCUUGGGGAUGGAGGCCUGGGUAUACAGAGAGCACAGCUCUGCUUUGCUGGCAGGGUAGAUGCCAAGAGCAGCAACUGGAAGGUUUGCCUGCAUAGCUCUGAGGUGCUGAGCAUCACUGUAUGCCCACUUCCAUCCACACGCUCUGAGAGCACUGGGCAAACUUGAGGGCUUUCUUAAGUAGCCUCUCACCUAAAUAAAGAGCAGCAAUUCACAUGGUGCGCCGUGUGACCAACUGGGCAGCCAUUUAGUGCUGUUGUCCCUUGCUCCAUCUUCUCCCUUGCUGUUUGGGAGGCCUAGUGGGUAUCAGCCCUCCCCUCCCUGCUUUCCAAACAGUCACGCUGUGCUCUGUUCAUGCAGGCGUCUGGCAUCAGGCUGCUCUAUUCCAGCCACAUCAGUUUCAGAUUUCAUUGC